ACUUAACACUUCAAUAUUUAUAGAAUUAAGAGGGUGUAUUUCAUCUGCAUUUAUUGCACCUGAAAAUGACUUAAAUUCUAAUUAUGUAACAGUUGAGGUUU
rnacentral:ncRNA from 1 species